AUUGUAAAGCAACUAUACUCCAAUAAAAAUUAAAAAAAAAAAAAAAGAAACAAGAAAAGAUUGCAGAUAAUUUGAAAAAAACAAAAAACGAAAAACAAAUACAGGAAUCACCAAACACCAAUCCAGUGGCCAGUUUUCAGGGCAGAGGAAUGGCUGCUGUGAACGUGGGCCUUAUCCUGCCUGAUGCUCUUGACCUUCUUUCCUGCACCUUCUUUGUGAACCCCGUCUUCCUCCAUCUGUCAGCAGCUCCAAUGCUUCCCUGUCCCCACCUCGGGCACUCAAACCCACUCUCACAGUGUGACACCAACGAUGCUGAGGAAGUUUACUUCUCCUAGUUCUGUGACACCAAGGGCAACCCCUCUCAGACUAAGACCUGGUGUCAAGGAGCCCCUCAUAGACUCCACCUUAUUACUAAGCUUGAAUUAUCAAUAAAUAAAGCACCAGGCAAGGCCUUCUGCUGUUCUUCCUGUUCAAGGCAGUUCUGACCGGUAGCUCCUGAUCUCACCAGCCUGUCCACCGCACCAGGCUCCAGGGUGCAAUCCUAUCAGGAUGGACUCCAAGUAUGGUUCGUUUCAUCUUCUAAAAGGCCAAGCCUGUAUGUCUCAGAAACUGGAAGACCUAUUAGUUUAGGCUUCAUUUUUCUGGAACUGAGAGACUGUCUCCACUUUAUAGCUUUUCCUUUCUUAUCCAACUGUAGAUGCAAGUCUCCCAGAACAACGUUCUGCCUAAGGACACGCAGCACCCAGUGACGCUGGCGCGCUCCCUGGAAAGUUGCUUCCUACAGGGGCCACAUUAACUGGCCCCUCUUGCAACUAGGGGGCAUGUGACCAGUUCUCAGCAAGGGAACCCAGAAAGUACGCGGAAGUCAUACACAUCCCUCCCAGGCCGAGGCAGUUAAGACGUUCCUUUUCCACUUUCUCUUUAUACUUCCUCCUGGAGGACUCCAAGACGCCAGGACACAGAGAAAUUCUAGAAGGAGCCUGGGACCCUGAAUCACCACAUGGAAAAGAACAGGAACACUUGCACUGGAUUGUUACAUGCAUGAGGAAAACACCUUUGCAUUAAGCCACUGAAAUGUUGAAAGUUAUUUGUUAGAGCAGUACCAUUACCUACUAGAAUGCCACAGAAUUACUAGAAUAUUAUAAUAAGGCUGGUCCAAGAGGAAGGUGAGAGUCACCCAAAGCUUCAAAAAUGUCAGACAAGUGAAAAGAAGCUAUUACUUUACACUGUUAAUAUUGAUGCCUAAUACUUAAACAGAAUUAGAGAGAACCCUGGUUGGAAAACUGUUUCAUUAGCCUCCAAAGCAACCCACUAUAAACUCUGAAUUGGUUUUUCCCUCAAAAUGUAUCUAGAAUCUAAGCACUUCUCACCAUCUCCAUUGCUACUAUCCUUGUAUGAGCCACAAUUAAAAUUCUUGCCUAGAAAAUUAAAAA